rnacentral:rRNA from 1 species
GACGGAGGGUGCAAGCGUUGUUUCGGAAUUACUGGGCGUAAAGGGCGCGUAGGCGGUCUGUUAAGUUCGGUGUGAAAGCCCCCGGCUCACCUGGGGAACUGCGCCGGAAACCGACAGACUCGAGUACCGGAGAGGAGGGUGGAAUUCCUGGUGUAGACGGUGAAAUGCGUAGAUAUCAGGAGGAACACCGGUGGCGGAAGGCGGCCCUCUGGACGG